CCUACGGGGGGCAGCAGUGGGGAAUAUUGCGCAAUGGGCGAAAGCCUGACGCAGCGACGCCGCGUGAGGGAUGAAGGUCUUCGGAUCGUAAACCUCUGUCAGCAGGGAAGAACGGUCACUGUGCUAAUCAGCAGUGAAUUGACGGUACCUGCAAAGGAAGCACCGGCUAACUCCGUGCCAGCAGCCGCGGUAAUACGGAGGGUGCGAGCGUUAAUCGGAAUUACUGGGCGUAAAGCGCACGUAGGCGGUCUGUCAAGUCAAGUGUGAAAUCCCCGCGCUCAACGUGGGAACUGCCUUUGAAACUGGCAAACUGGAGUGUGUGAGAGGAUAGUAGAAUUCCAGGUGUAGGAGUGAAAUGCGUAGAGAUCUGGAGGAAUAUCAGUGGCGAAGGCGACUAUCUGGCACAUAACUGACGCUGAGGAGCGAAAGCGUGGGGAGCAAACAGGAUUAGAUACCCUGGUAGUC
rnacentral:rRNA from 1 species